CAGCGAUGCAUAAUCCCCUUUUCUCACCGGCCCCGUCCACAAUAUCCCCUAAUCCAGCCCCACCGGCGACCACACGGGCGCGGAGCAACCUACAUUACGACGACGGGGGAGCUUCGCGAGACACUUCAGGGGGGCGCCGCCACGGGCACUCUAUCCUAGGGGAUGGAGCGAGCGCCUCGCUGGCCGUCCAGUCAGGAGAACAUGGGAGCUAGGUGUGCUGCAAGCUAAGGGAAGGCGGCGAGCUCUGGCGAGAGCUGCAACCGGCAUGGGCGCAUCAGACGUAGAUGCGCCCACGAACGGUGCUGCAUCCGUUCUCGGGCAGUGCUAGAACGGGCCAAGGGAAAUUCUGGAAUCGACCGGCGGCGGUGAUGCAACCCGCUAGAACCGGCUGUACAGGAAGCUGUGAGGGCGGAGUUAACGAUGCCGCCGGAAAUCGCUGGUUUUUGCAUCUUCUUUAAAUCAUCGGUUCCAGCUUUUAAAAGCACCGGUUGUAGCUUUUUUAUCAGCCGUUUGUAUCUUUUUGGAUCGCUAGUACUAGUUUUCAAUCACCCGUUGUAGCUUUUUGAUCAGCGGUUUGCAACUUUUCUAAUCGCCGGUUCCAGCUUUUCUAAUCGAUGGUUCGAGCUUCUGUUCGUUUGCAUCUUUUUUUGACUGCUGGUGCUGGAACAACAUGGCGACGAGCUGGAAGGGGCGCCCAAAUUUGGUAGAACCAGCCACCCGUUUUGCUGGAACCGGCUCCCCUUUGCUGCGUCGGACAUUGUUGGAGUUUGCUGGUGUGCCUUUUCUUCUGGAACCUUGGUUAAAUCAAGCUGGAACCGGACAAUCUUUUUGCUACGUCCUGCCGAAAACAGAGUAGGAACUGAUGGGAUUUUUGUUUAAGACCUGGCGGCAACACAUUUUUGCUGGAACUGUAUUACUUUUUUGCUGGAAUAGUUUUUGGUUUAUGCUACCACCAGUGAAAACCAAUUUUUUGCUGUUGAAGCUUUUUUUUGCUGGAACCGGCAACCACAGAAGCUACAACCGGUUGACAAUUUUUGCUACAACGGCGAUGAUGGGCAGCAUGGGCGAGUGUUCUUUUGCUAGGACGGAUGCAUUUUUUUGCUACAACUGGACCGGUGACCGGCGCACGCCGGGAUGCGGUGACCAUCACCGGAGUUGCGGCCUUCGCACCGGAGCUGUGGCCGUUGCCAUGGGGAGCUGCAACCGUCGGCGCAGGCUACUGCAUGCACGAAGCCGGCGACGGCGACCGGCAGCGACGAUGGCGACCAACGACGAGGUCAGUGACGGCGACCGAUGACGAGGACAGCCACAGGCGAGAACGCACUGGUGGUGCUUCAAGGCCGGGCGCGUCUCCUUAAUGGCGGCACGAUGGGAAUUUUUUCCUGAAAGAAGACAUUUGCGGGAAGGAAGGAAGGCAAUCGUGCGGCUAAUGCUUGUUUAAUCGAACGUUGGUGGUGCGACCGACCCAAAUUUGGGCCGGCGUACCGGCGCCUAUCAGUCGCCAGCUUAUAGGAGCUCCCUAACAUGCGUCCAUUGUUCUUACAUGCACGACAUUGUCGUGUCGUCGCAGGCCGCUUCAUCGCUGGCCGCUUCUACGUAUAUGGACGUGGGCCUCCUGUGUAACAACCGAGAGUGAUACCCGACAUUAUUGACGCUAUCCGAUCAAAUCCCGACUGGCUACUGAUGUAACCGCCCUGUUUUCUCCAAUGAGAUCAUCGUGCAUGCGUUCCAGGUAAUUCCUGACAGAUACGACGACGAGGCUAGUCUGGAGCACUGGCUCUCUGGUUAUCUUACCGCAGUGCAGCUCCACACCAUCAAGCACUCGCCCCUCGUGCUCACCAGCUCGGCCAGGUCUUGGCUCCACAAUCAUCCCCCCAAUUCAAUCUUCGAGUAGCCGCACAUUCAGGAGGCAUUCCAAACACAUUAACAUGCGGGGAAGGGGCGCUCGCUGGGCUAUGCCACAUCGGCACAUUUACUGAUGCUGUCUUUUUACAACAGUAUCGUAGUCACAGGGAUUUACAUUGGAAGGCAGCCCACGCACAAGUCAUCCAUCUCUCGUUUCAUCUCCCCUGGCUAUAGGGUUUCCAUGCCCAUUGCACUGUGUAACACCCCCAUGUAUUAAGCUAUAGUAAUCCCAC
rnacentral:rRNA from 1 species